AUUUUUGUUUUGCAGUUGGAGAGGGUAAAACUCAAAGUUAAGGCAGCUAGCUCACAAGAGGAGGUUGAAUCACUCAAGUUUGCUGAAAAGAAUCUUAUUAACAAGAUUUAUACUGAUUCUGCUGAAGCCAAGAUUCCAGCUGUUCUUGAUUAUCUUGGAACUGUAAUCGAGAAAAAAAAGGUUGGUUGUAUCCGGAUUGAUGGAGGUACACCUUCUGGAUCAAGGCAACAGUUGGUUACAGAGUUUCAGGAAAAAGAUUCUAUCAAGGCAGCAGUGCUAUCUAUAAAAGCUGGAGGUGUCGGGUUAACAUUGACUGCUGCCAGCACCGUCCUCUUUGCAGAAUUGUCUUGGACUCCUGGUGAUCUAAUUCAGGCCGAAGACC